rnacentral:tRNA from 1 species
GGGGAUAUACCUAAGUGGUAGAGCAUUCGACUGCAGAUCGAGAGGUCCCUGGUUCGAACCCGGGUGUCCCCU